rnacentral:rRNA from 1 species
CCUACGGGUGGCAGCAGUGGGGAAUAUUGUACAAUGGGGGGAACCCUGAUGCAGCGAUGCCGCGUGAGUGAAGAAGUAUCUCGGUACGUAAAGCUCUAUCAGCAGGGAAGAAAAUGACGGUACCUGUCUAAUAAGCCCCGGCUAACUACGUGCCAGCAGCCGCGGUAAUACGUAGGGGGCAAGCGUUAUCCGGAUUUACUGGGUGUAAAGGGAACGUAGACUGCACUGCAAGUCCGGAGUGAAAGCCCAAGGCUUAACCAUGGGACUGCUCUGGACACUGUGGAGCUUGAGUGCGGGAGAGGCAGGUGGAAUUCCGAGUGUAGCGGUGAAAUGCGUAGAUAUUAGGAGGAACACCGGCGGCGAAGGCGGCCUGCUGGACCGUAACUGACGUUGAGGCUCGAAAGCGUGGGGAGCAAACAGGAUUAGAUACCCCAGUAGUC